rnacentral:rRNA from 1 species
AGAAUCAACGCUGGCGGCGUGCCUAACACAUGCAAGUCGAACGAGAAAGGGACUUCGGUCCUGAGUAUAGUGGCGCACGGGUGAGUAACACGUGAAUAAUCUACCUCCGAGUGGGGGAAUAGCUGAGAGAAAUCUUAGCUAAUACCGCAGUAACACUUACGAGUCAAAGCAGCAAUGCGCUUGGAGAGGAGUUCGCGGCCGAUUAGUUAGUUGGCGGGGUAAUGGCCCACCAAGACGAUGAUCGGUA